UUUGGGACAGUUUCUGGAUUCAACUGCUGGUAAGGGAUAUUAAAAUCCCUAAUUUCGUGGUACCUCGUUCCUCUUAGCUUGCUUUAGCUUUGGCCGCAUAAGCUUCGCUUUUGAAACCCUUCUUCCCCGAAAUCAUUUUUCCUCGUGCAUCAAAUUCUUGCUCCAUUAAAAUCCUUCCUGUGCAUCACGGUUCUUGGCCCUGCCGUCGUGCCAUUGAGCUCACCGUUCGGUUUGACAUUGAAAUCGUUGUUCGGUUUGCCAUUAAAAUCCCUAAUUCCUAAGUUCAUCUUCUCCUGCAAUUCGUAAAUCCAUCAUGACCUAAACCUAAAAUUUGUUUUCCAUCCUCAACAACCUUUCCAGCGUGAAGGUGGAGUGAACAGUGUUAGGAGCUUGAAGGCUUUCGUUGACGAGGGAUUUGACCGUGAGAAGAACCAGAACCAGGUAUGAGAGCUAACCCGUGUAUGUCCUUGUUUUUUUUCUUGACGUGACAAGCGAAAUAUUCGAAUUUGUGGCUCGAAGAUCGCUUCUGCUUCAACAAAUGGUCUCCCUAUCAUGAAACAAUUGAUUUUGAUGUCCACAGUAACCACGUUGAGUUUUUUUAUCAUCAUUUAAAAGAUGAGCAUUUAACUCCUUUGUUUGAAGAGAUAGUAAAGUUAGAACGAGCUCUUUUCAACAUUCAGUGUGAACAACAUUGGCUUGAGGCUCACCCAGAACGCCAGGCAAUAGAAUACUCAAGCCAGCUGGGAGCACCAGGUGCUACCUUAUGUUCUUUGCCACCUUUACUGUUGGCGGUUUGAUCCAACCCUGUUGUUUGAAACCUUCUCUUGGCUUGUUUUCUUGCUUGAUAAUUGUAUUUGCUUUCUUCAUCUCUGUCAGAUGUUAUUUGAACCUUAUCUUUUUCCCAGAUAAAGUCUUGUUCUAUCUAUGGUCAGCUGCAGUUUUGUUUUUAUAUUUGUCCCAGGUGCAGUCUUCCUCCCAUCUUUAUCUCAUUGCAGUCUAGACUCUGUAUUCACUUCCUAAGUCCCAUAUGUAAUGACACCAACACCUCGAGCAUAUCUCACAUUAUCAUCUAUCUAGUGUGAUAUUAGUCAAGGUUUUUGGUUGCGCCAUCUGUGAUUAUUACAAUUCUGUAACACCCCUUUAUUGUUGCUUUUCCUCCAUUUGAGCCCAUUGUCAUUGCUGACAAUUACUUGAUUCAUACGUUGCUUGGGCUGUUAUACGCACUCCACCUACUCUAAUCACUUCAGCGAUCAACUUGCACAGUGCAUUUAACAUGUUACUUUGACUCAUUCCAUGCCUUUCUUUGAACAUUCUUACAUGUGAAACAAAUAUAGAUAUGCAUAAAGCAUAAGGCCUGAAACGAAGAAAUCUCUGUUGUUUCGUCCACUGCGACCAUUUUCAAUUCUGUGUCAUUGCUCAGCUUGACCAUUAACUCAACGUCCACCUCCUCCUUCUUUGUUCCAAAUAUUUUCCUACUGUUGUUCACUGAGCCUUUCAACUUCUCAAUCGAUUCACGGCUGAAACUGAAGAUUCUCUCUCGAAAGGGCGAGUCAACAUCGAAGCACAUGACUGCAUCCAAUGGGAUAUUUCUUACAUGGCAAAACAUAAUUCUAAAGCUCUUCACAACCGUUCAUAUGGACAAGGCAGCUUUACUAGAGAGUGUGAUAGACCAUGUCAAAGAUCUAAAGAAAAAGGCCAUGGAUGUUAGCAGAGCUUUCACAGUUCCAACUGAAAUUGAUGAAGUAUCAAUUGACUCUGAGCAGAAAUAAGAGGCAGAGGUUCUUCUUGCCUUCUCAUUGCCUACAGUAAUUUAAUUAAUAUAUUGCAAAAUUAUUUUCUUUUGCCCUAAGGGUCGUUUCAUUGGGGCAAUUAUUUGCUUUAUUUUCAAUAUUUAUAUACCGAUAUAGCUUUUCCAUUAGGAAUAUGAAAUCAUGAAAUAUUAGUUAUGUGUCACCGAUUAAACCAAAGUUAAAGAGGGAGAAACUAAAUCAAAUAUGUGUAAAAGGUUAA